AUUUGAGUAGUUUAUAAAAAAUAUAGAGUUGUGGUUUCUAAGAAAAUUAUUUUUCUCAAAUU
rnacentral:tRNA from 1 species